GACGAACGCUGGCGGCGUGCCUAAUACAUGCAAGUAGAACGCUGAAGAGAAGAGCUUGCUCUUCUUGGAUGAGUUGCGAACGGGUGAGUAACGCGUAGGUAACCUGCCUGGUAGCGGGGGAUAACUAUUGGAAACGAUAGCUAAUACCGCAUGAUAUUAAUUGUCGCAUGAUAAUUAAUUGAAAGAUGCAAUUGCAUCACUACCAGAUGGACCUGCGUUGUAUUAGCUAGUUGGUGAGGUAACGGCUCACCAAGGCGACGAUACAUAGCCGACCUGAGAGGGUGAUCGGCCACACUGGGACUGAGACACGGCCCAGACUCCUACGGGAGGCAGCAGUAGGGAAUCUUCGGCAAUGGGGGGAACCCUGACCGAGCAACGCCGCGUGAGUGAAGAAGGUUUUCGGAUCGUAAAGCUCUGUUGUAAGAGAAGAACGGGUGUGAGAGUGGAA
rnacentral:rRNA from 1 species